AGACCCGAAACCCGGUGAUCUAGCCAUGGGCAGGUUGAAGGUUGGGUAACACUAACUGGAGGACCGAACCGACUAAUGUUGAAAAAUUAGCGGAUGACCUGUGGCUGGGGGUGAAAGGCCAAUCAAACCGGGAGAUAGCUGGUUCUCCCCGAAAGCUAUUUAGGUAGCGCCUCGUGAAUUCAUCUCCGGGGGUAGAGCACUGUUUCGGCUAGGGGGCCAUCCCGGCUUACCAACCCGAUGCAAACUGCGAAUACCGGAGAAUGUUAUCACGGGAGACACACGGCGGGUGCUAACGUCCGUCGUGAAGAGGGAAACAACCCAGACCGCCAGCUAAGGUCCCAAAGUCAUGGUUAAGUGGGAAACGAUGUGGGAAGGCCCAGACAGCCAGGAUGUUGGCUUAGAAGCAGCCAUCAUUUAAAGAAAGCGUAAUAGCUCACUGGUCGAGUCGGCCUGCGCGGAAGAUGUAACGGGGCUAAACCAUGCACCGAAGCUGCGGCAGCGAACGUAUCACUUAAAGCGAUUCAGCGGGUUACGAUUGACGGAGCGAAGCGACGUCAAAGCGUAUACAAAGUCGAGUCGGUUUAAGGAUACGUUCGUUGGGU
rnacentral:rRNA from 1 species